UACGUAGGGGGCAAGCGUUGUCCGGAAUCAUUGGGCGUAAAGCGCGCGUAGGCGGCCCGAUCAGUCCGCUGUAAAAGUCCAGGGCUCAACCCUGGAAAGCCGGUGGAUACUGUCGGGCUAGAGUCCGGAAGAGGCGAGUGGAAUUCCAGGUGUAGCGGUGAAAUGCGUAGAUAUCUGGAGGAACACCGGUGGCGAAGGCGGCGUUCUGGACUGCAACUGACACUGAGGAACGAAAGCCAGGGGAGCAAACGGG
rnacentral:rRNA from 1 species